UCUGCCGUGAAAGUCCGGGGGCUCAACUCCGGAUCUGCGGUGGGGUACGGGCAGACUAGAGUGAUGUAGGGGAGACUGGAAUUCCUGGUGUAGCGGUGAAAUGCGCAGAUAUCAGGAGGAACACCGAUGGCGAAGGCAGGUCUCUGCGCAUUAACUGACGCUGAGGAGCGAAAGCAUGGGGAGCGAACAGGAUUAGAUACCCUGGUAGUCCAUGCCGUAAACGUUGGGCACUAGGUGUGGGGGACAUUCCACGUUCUCCGUACCGUAGCUAACGCAUUAAGUGCCCCGCCUGGGGAGUACGGCCGCAAGGCUAAAACUCAAAGGAAUUGACGGGGGCCCGCACAAGCGGCGGAGCAUGCGGAUUAAUUCGAUGCAACGCGAAGAACCUUACCAAGGCUUGACAUGGACCGGAAAUACCUGGAAACAGGUGCCCCGCUUGCGGUCGGUUCACAGGUGGUGCAUGGUUGUCGUCAGCUCGUGUCGUGAGAUGUUGGGUUAAGUCCCGCAACGAGCGCAACCCUCGUUCUAUGUUGCCAGCGCGUGAUGGCGGGGACUCAUAGGAGACUGCCGGGGUCAACUCGGAGGAAGGUGGGGACGACGUCAAAUCAUCAUGCCCCUUAUGUCUUGGGCUUCACGCAUGCUACAAUGGCCGGUACAAAGGGUUGCGAUACUGUGAGGUGGAGCUAAUCCCAAAAAGCCGGUCUCAGUUCGGAUUGGGGUCUGCAACUCGACCCCAUGAAGUCGGAGUCGCUAGUAAUCGCAGAUCAGCAACGCUGCGGUGAAUACGUUCCCGGGCCUUGUACACACCGCCCGUCAAGUCACGAAAGUUGGUAACACCCGAAGCCGGUGGCCUAACCCCUUGUGGGAGGGAGCUGUCGAAGGUGGGACUGGCGAUUGGGCCAA
rnacentral:rRNA from 1 species